rnacentral:misc_RNA from 1 species
GAUGAAGAACGCAGCGAAAUGCGAUAAGUAAUGUGAAUUGCAGAAUUCAGUGAAUCAUCGAAUCUUUGAACGCACAUUGCGCCCCUUGGUAUUCCGAGGGGCAUGCCUGUUCGAGCGUCAUUAUAACCCCUCAAGCUCAGCUUGGUGUUGGGGCCUGCUGCACUGGCAGCCCUUAAAAUCAGUGGCGGCGCCGUCUGGCUCUAAGCGUAGUAAUUCUUCUCGCUAUGGAGUCCUGGUGGAUGCUUGCCAUCAACCCCCAAUUUUUCUAUGGUUGACCUCGGAUCAGGUAGGGAUACCCGCUGAACUUAAGCAUAUCAAAAGCGGAGGA